UACAGAGGUCUCAAGCGUUGUUCGGAUUCAUUGGGCGUAAAGGGUGCGUAGGCGGCGCGGUAAGUCGGGUGUGAAAUCUCGGGGCUUAACUCCGAAACUGCACUUGAUACUGCGGUGCUCGAGUACUGGAGAGGAGAUUGGAAUUUACGGUGUAGCAGUGAAAUGCGUAGAUAUCGUAAGGAAGACCAGUGGCGAAGGCGAAUCUCUGGACAGUUACUGACACUGAGGCACGAAGGCCAGGGGAGCAAACGGG
rnacentral:rRNA from 1 species